GCCAGGGUGGCAUAGGAGUUUGAGCGCUGGACUAUGACUCUGGAGACCAGGGUUCGAUUCCCAGCUCAGCUA